rnacentral:rRNA from 1 species
GUGGGGAAUAUUGCACAAUGGGGGGAACCCUGAUGCAGCGACGCCGCGUGCGGGAUGACGGCCUUCGGGUUGUAAACCGCUUUUAAUUGGGAGCAAGCAGACUUUUGUUUGUGAGUGUACUUUUUGAAUAAGCACCGGCUAACUACGUGCCAGCAGCCGCGGUAAUACGUAGGGUGCAAGCGUUGUCCGGAAUUAUUGGGCGUAAAGAGCUCGUAGGCGGUUUGUCGCGUCUGGUGUGAAAGUCCAUCGCUUAACGGUGGAUUUGCGCUGGGUACGGGCAGGCUAGAGUGUAGUAGGGGAGACUGGAAUUCCCGGUGUAACGGUGGAAUGUGUAGAUAUCGGGAAGAACACCAAUGGCGAAGGCAGGUCUCUGGGCUAUGACUGACGCUGAGGAGCGAAAGCGUGGGGAGCGAACAGGA